ACCUACGGGAGGCAGCAGUGGGGAAUCUUCCGCAAUGGGCGCAAGCCUGACGGAGCAAUGCCGCGUGAACGAAGAAGGUCUUCGGAUUGUAAAGUUCUGUCCUUAUCGAAGAGAGGGUAUAGAGUGAAAAAUGAUAUACUAGGACGGUAGAUGAGGAGGAAGCCCCGGCUAACUACGUGCCAGCAGCCGCGGUAAUACGUAGGGGGCGAGCGUUGUCCGGAAUCACUGGGCGUAAAGGGGGCGUAGGCGGUUUAAUAAGUCAGUGGUGAAAACUGAGGGCUCAACCCUCAGCCUGCCACUGAUAC
rnacentral:rRNA from 1 species